GUGUCAGCCGCCGCGGUAAUACGUAGGGGCCAAGCGUUGUCCGGAAUUAUUGGGCGUAAAGGGCGCGUAGGCGGCUUGAUAAGUCAGAUGUUAAAUCUACAGGCUUAACCUGUAGCCGCAUCUGAUACUGUCUUGCUAGAGAGUGGUAGAGGAAAGCGGAACUUCCGGUGUAGCGGUGAAAUGCGUAGAUAUCGGAAGGAACACCAGUGGCGAAGGCGGCUUUCUGGACCAUUUCUGACGCUGAGGCGCGAAAGCCAGGGGAGCAAACGGGAUUAGAUACCCCUGUAGUCC
rnacentral:rRNA from 1 species